AGCAUUGCCCACAUUCAUAUAGAUGUUAAUGGAAUAUAUAUAUCUAGAUUCCAUUAAUAUCUAUAUGAAUAUGGGCACUACAUCCCAUUAACAUCUAUAUGAAUGUGGGCAAUG
rnacentral:pre_miRNA from 1 species